rnacentral:lncRNA from 1 species
GUGAGAAGACGGAGGAAGAGGCCCUGGCUGGGGCAAAUGAGGAGGAGGUGGGGCCGGGAACUGAGAAGGUGCAGGAGGAGGCUGCCUGCAUUGACGAGGCAGAGGAGGAGGCAGGCCCAUCCCUUGAAAAUGACGAGGAGUCCCCAGCCAGCGACCUGGUUGAGCAGGAAGACCAGCUUGCCCCCAAGGUGGACGGGAUGGACGAUGAAAGCCUAUGUUUCAUGGAGAGUCUGAGUGACAGCAACCAUGAUGAAAGUGAUACAGGUAAGAACAGCUCUCAGGUAGGAGCCAAUGGGAGAGGGAUCCCGGGACACUUGGGUGACGCCUGCUGCUUGGAGUGUGGGGCAGGUGAGUCUGAAACUUAAAAACAGAAAGAAAUUGAUGUAAAGAUGUUCACCGCCUACUUUAAUAAGGAGAGGGAGCAGAUAUGAGAUGCCUGAAUGUUGGCAUCUGUGCUCACCUUGUGUGGAAGGGUCUCAGUCCAUGGAGCAGAGGGAAGGUCUGGGCACCUGGAGGAAAAACCAGGGUGAUGCUCUGUACCCGUAGUCACCUCAGGGAAGCCGGAGAAACGGGAGGGCCACUCUUUC